CAGGACGUAGCUAAGACAACGCAUAGCGUCUCCCUUACACCGAGAAGUCAUCCGUUCAAGUCGGAUCGGCCUGA
rnacentral:tRNA from 1 species